GGGCGGCUAGCUCAGUUGGUUAGAGUGCCACGUUGACAUCGUGGAGGUCAUAAGUUCAAAUCUUGUGCCGCCUA
rnacentral:tRNA from 1 species